rnacentral:lncRNA from 1 species
CUAUACUAGCCUAGCUACAUGAACACGAGAAACUACCACGCAUGGAGAUCGUUUGGAGAGCUUGCUCCAUGCCUCCCUGCCAUCAGCAUUCGAGAAGCCAAUGGUGGCUGCAGCUGAACCAAGUGACAUACUCCGCUCUGGAUUCUGACGGAUCCAUGUCCUCCUACUCCAAGCCAGCCGACCAACUUGAGCGCCAAGUAAGGC